AACUUUCCUUCGGGGAAGAUAUAAAGUGGCGCACGGGUGAGUAACACGUAGGUAAUGUACCUUUGGGUGGGGAAUAACUUAGGGAAACUUAAGCUAAUACCGCAUAAUGCAGCGGCUCCUUAUGGAGACAGUUGUUAAAGAUUUAUCGCCUAAAGAGCAGCCUGCGGCAGAUUAGCUAGUUGGUAAGGUAAUGGCUUACCAAGGCUACGAUCUGUAUCCGACCUGAGAGGGUGGUCGGACACACUGACACUGAAUAACGGGUCAGACUCCUACGGGAGGCAGCAGUCGGGAAUUUUGGGCAAUGGGCGAAAGCCUGACCCAGCAACGCCGCGUGAAGGAUGAAGUCUUUCGGGAUGUAAACUUCGUAAGAAUAGGAAGAAUAAAUGACGGUACUAUUUGUAAGGUCCGGCUAACUACGUGCCAGCAGCCGCGGUAAUACGUAGGGACCAAGCGUUGUUCGGAUUUACUGGGCGUAAAGGGCGCGUAGGCGGCAAUUCAAGUCAGUUGUGAAAUCUCCGAGCUUAACUCGGAACGGUCAACUGAUACUGCUUUGCUAGAGUACAGAAGGGGCAAUCGGAAUUCUUGGUGUAGCGGUGAAAUGCGUAGAUAUCAAGAGGAACACCUGAG
rnacentral:rRNA from 1 species